GAGUUUGAUCCUGGCUCAGAGCGAACGCUGGCGGCAGGCCUAACACAUGCAAGUCGAGCGGCCGUAGCAAUACGGCAGCGGCAGACGGGAGAGUAACACGUGGGAACGCGCCCUUCGGUUCGGAAUAACUCAGGGAAACUUGAGCUAAUACCGGAUACGGCCCUUACGGGGAAAGAUUUAUUGCCGAAGGAACGGCCCGCGUCGGAUUAGCUAGUUGGUGAGGUAAUGGCUCACCAAGGCGACGAUCCGUAGCCUGGUCUGAGAGGAUGACCAGCCUCACUGGGACUGAGACACGGCCCAGACUCCUACGGGAGGCAGCAGUGGGGGAAUAUUGGACAAGUGGGCGCAAGCCUGAUCCAGCCAUGCCGCGUGGAGUGAUGAAGGCCUUA
rnacentral:rRNA from 1 species